UUUCCGUAGGUGAACCUGCGGAAGGAUCAUUAAAAAUGUGGUACCGAUUGUUGGUACUAAAUUAAUCAUCCUACCCUUUGUGAAUUUGUUUGUAACGAAUUUUUUUAAAUGGGUCUUUCCCUAAGUUGGAUUGUAGUAAAAUACAAAAAGACUUAGGGGAAUGACUUUUUUAAAAGACUUUUUUUUAAAUUAAAACUCUUUGUAUUCAUUUGUCUAAAAUUUAUUUUUAUAAUAUAAAAACAACUUUUGACAAUGGAUCUCUUGGUUCUCGCAACGAUGAAGAACGCAGCAAAAUGCGAUAAGUAGUGUGAAUUGCAGAAUACGUGAAUCAUCGAAUCUUCGACGCAUAUUGCACUUUUUUAGUUUACUAAAAAAGUAUGUCUGUUUGAGUAUCAGUAAAAUAUUCUCACAAAAACAAUUUGUUUUUUGUGGUUAUGAGUGUUUUACAACGAUAAACAAGUUGUUUCACUUUAAAUUCUUUUUAAUUGAAUUUUACCAAUUCAUAAAUUAAAAUUGGAUAAAAUUUUCCUUUAACGAGGAUAACCUAAACAAUUUUAAAUUUUAUGGAUUAAUAAACAUUCAUCAAAGGAAUCUAUACAACAAAUAACUUGAUCUCAAAUCAGAUAAGAGUACCGCUGAACUUAAGCAUAUCAAUAAGCGGAGGAAAAGAAACUAACAAGGAUUCCCUUAGUAACGGCGAGUGAAGCGGGAAGAGCUCAAAUUUGAAAUCUUCAAGGUUUGACCUUGACGAAUUGUAGUUUAUAGAAGUGUUUUCUGUUGGAGUUUUGGUAAAAGUUCUUUGGAAUAGAACAUCAUAGAGGGUGAGAAUCCCGUAUUUGACCAUGACUUUCCAGCUGUGUGAUACACUUUCAAAGAGUCGGAUUGUUUGGGAAUGCAGUCCAAAAUGGGUGGUAAAUUUCAUCUAAAGCUAAAUAUUGGCGAGAGACCGAUAGCGAACAAGUACCGUGAGGGAAAGAUGAAAAGAACUUUGAAAAGAGAGUUAAACAGUACGUGAAAUUGUCAAAAGGGAAGCGUUUGACACCAGUGUUGUUUUCUCGAAAAUCAAUUUAAUGAGUUCUUGUUUUUAAGUUAUUGUGACUUUAUCAGCGCAUUUCUUAUUUUACUUGACUCAUUGAAUGCACUUUUCGUUUAACAAGUCAACAUCAAUUUCUUUGGUGGUAAAAAGUUUAAAGGAAGGUGGCUUGGACUUCGGUUCAAGUGUUUAUAGCCUUUUUCUAUGCCAUCGGAGAGAUUGAGGUCUGCAGCGUAGAUCCUUCGGGGUUAGAUACCUUUGUGCUAAGUUAUAGUUUUUUAUAGACAACUUGUUGACUAUAAUUAACCCUGUAAUUUACUCGCUUAGGCUAUUUACCUACGCUUAGGAUGUUG
rnacentral:misc_RNA from 1 species